rnacentral:rRNA from 1 species
GUAGGGUGCGAGCGUUGUCCGGAAUUAUUGGGCGUAAAGAGCUUGUAGGCGGUUUGUCGCGUCUGCUGUGAAAAUCCGGGGCUCAACCCCGGACUUGCAGUGGGUACGGGCAGGCUAGAGUGUGGUAGGGGAGACUGGAAUUCCUGGUGUAGCGGUGGAAUGCGCAGAUAUCAGGAGGAACACCGAUGGCGAAGGCAGGUCUCUGGGCCACUACUGACGCUGAGAAGCGAAAGCAUGGGGAGCGAACAGGAUUAGAUACCCUGGUAGUCCAUGCCGUAAACGUUGGGCGCUAGGUGUGGGACUCAUUCCACGAGUUCCGUGCCGCAGCUAACGCAUUAAGCGCCCCGCCUGGGGAGUACGGCCGCAAGGCUAAA